rnacentral:snRNA from 1 species
GGAUGUGAGGGCGAUCUGGCUGCGACAUCUGUCACCCCAUUGAUCGCCAGGGUUGAUUCGGCUGAUCUGGCUGGCUAGGCGGGUGUCCCCCUCCUCCCUCACUGAUCCAUGUUCGUCCCUCCUGAAGCUGCUCGCUCAGUCGAAGAGGACGACCUUCCCCCCCAGGAGAGGAUCGGUUUUCAGUCAAGGGGGUAUAUGAGUAGCUGCGCUCCCCUGCUAGAACCUCCAAACAAGCUCUCAAAUUGUACUAAAAAACUGAACUAAAAGUAGCAUUCCUUCUCCCAUG